GGAAAGAUGGUAUUUAUAUAUUGAUCUCAAAGAACAAAGCAAAAAAUGGAAAAGAGAGGUAAAUGAACAAUCAUAGCAGACUCUUCAAGCAUCUGUAAGAAUAUACAUUCUAUAUUGCAACUCUGGAAUGUAGCAUCUCUUACUCUAAAAUAUGCCUAUACAUAUAUACCAAUUUAUUUUCUGAUUCUUCAGAUAUCCUUCUUUUAACUCCCUCUAGGAAUGAUUAUAGUCUUAACUAGACCAAAUAUAGCCUGCCCCAAGGAGCAACUAUUGAUUCAUUAAACUAAUUUGUGAAGAAGGCUUCAUUGAGUCCUGUAAGAGAUUCAUCCUUUAUUCUGUCUUCUUCCCCCUCUUCCUGAAAAUGACAGACCAGCAACCAACUCCUCCAUUCCUGUAUCAAAAGAUAAAAAAAAUCCCAUCUUAAAACCUACCAAGUUGUUUAAAUUUCGAGGAAAUUGAAGUCAAGUGAAGGAAAAGGAAAAUUGUGAUAUUACAUGGAAAAUGCUUUUCUUGGAAUUUGUUAUUUCUUUUUCUUUAUCCAAGACUUUGACGCGUAAAGGCAUUAGAGAAUACAAGGAAAUUGUAAAUGAAAUUUACCAAAUUUUAUGAACAAUCAAAUAAUUCUACCCAAAAAUGAAAAAAAAAAAGAUCAAACAAUUCUUUUUGUGUUGGAAAAAUUUUGUCUUUGUACUUAGCAUUCUGUAAUUUUCCAUGGUUCCCCUGUUUCAUACUCUGUUUUGCAAAGGACAAGUUUCAGAAAAUUCUCCCAGUCCCCCUACUUGUUUUGGCAAGAAGAUAAAAUUACUACUGAGAUCUGAAUAUGUAAACUUAUUGUGAAUCUAAACUUAGCAAAAGAAGCAAUUGAUUAUGGCAUACCUGGUGCUGCCGUUUCUGCUGCUACUUCUACUGCUGCUGCUGCCACUGCUUUUUGAGCUUCCACUAUUGCUACUUAAUCCACCACUUUCACUUUCCCCCGACUCCGAGAAUCUGUUCUUCCACCACUCGUUUUCUACACCUUUGGCAGAUCCAUCCAAUAGCAGAGGCUUUGGAGACACCCUUCCAUCUCUUGCACUAUUAUUCAUCGCUAAGUUAUUAUUAUUGUUGCUGUUUUUCUUCAUCUUCUUUCUUGAACCCAAAGAAAAUGGAAACACCAUCUUCAGAAGAAACCCUCCAUUGUCUAUGCUUCCACUUCUGUUCAUUUGCACUUUUUUAUCAUUCUUUUUCUUCUCCGAUUUUUCCCUCGUAUACAUGUAUUCACUUGUUAUACUCCUUUCUUUACUAAAACUUUCAUCCUUAGCCUGAUCAACCAUGUUCUGCUCUACAAUAUCUUUUAAAGAUAACUCGUAACAUCCCUCAGGCAUUCGACUCACCAUCUCCAUGAGCUCCUUCUGACCUCUUGCAAUCGCUUGAGCUCUCGACGUAGGAGAAAGACUUCUAUAAUGGUUUUGGCGAUGUUGGGGGCUUCUGGAUGGACUCGUCCCCCAUAAAGGAGGGGAAAAAACAGCAGAAUCGUCAUCAUCUAUGAGCUUCCUCUCAGCUUCAAAUUCAGGCAAGCUAUUCCAGGUCUGGUAGUUGGCAUAAUUCUGUGCCGUUUUCUGAGCUCGGAAGCCAUAAUUUCUGGCAGAAAAACUGUCGGUUACUCGGCCAUUGGAAAAAUGUACAUGAUUGAUUUCAGGAAAUUUUGUCGCAGGAUCUAGCAUGGUUUAAUUUGUAGAAUCGGAAGAAGAAGAAGCAGCUGUGAUUUGUACUCGACGUUAAAUUUGGUAAGAAGAAAUGGGCGUGAAAGGCAAGGCAAUUAAGCAUUCACCGACCCCUAGUGGUGCGUGGCUCCCAAGAUUAUGUCAUAUUCUC
rnacentral:misc_RNA from 1 species